rnacentral:rRNA from 1 species
UGGGGAAUAUUGCACAAUGGGCGCAAGCCUGAUGCAGCCAUGCCGCGUGUAUGAAGAAGGCCUUCGGGUUGUAAAGUACUUUCAGUCGGGAGGAAGGUGUCAAGGUUAAUAACCUUGGCAAUUGACGUUACCGACAGAAGAAGCACCGGCUAACUCCGUGCCAGCAGCCGCGGUAAUACGGAGGGUGCAAGCGUUAAUCGGAAUUACUGGGCGUAAAGCGCACGCAGGCGGUUGAUUGAGUCAGAUGUGAAAUCCCCGGGCUUAACCCGGGACUUGCAUCUGAUACUGGUCAGCUAGAGUCUUGUAGAGGGGGGUAGAAUUCCAUGUGUAGCGGUGAAAUGCGUAGAGAUGUGGAGGAAUACCGGUGGCGAAGGCGGCCCCCUGGACAAAGACUGACGCUCAGGUGCGAAAGCGUGGGGAGCAAACAGG